GAGGGUUGGAGUGACAGCUCCACAUUUUUGUUUGCUUGCCUUUGUUUGAAUAACCUUUUGAACUAUUUAUUUCACUUUUCCCCAUGUGCAUUUUCAUGUUCAAAAGCUGACUUUCCUAGGAUCCUUCUCAUAGAUUGGUUCUGGUUCCAUGGGAAGCAGACCUUCAAAUGGAGACUUGUCUGAUGGGGAGUUAGUUAAAGAGGGUGUGAUCUCCUAAACCCCUGGGUUGGGGGUGUGGGGUGAAGGGGGGCAGGACUGGGCAGAGAGAGAAGGUGGCCACUGCCACAUGGUCUCACCAAGGGCUCAGUCCAUCCGGGCAGCGACCUCUGGAGCUGAGUCCAUCUUUCAAGGCUGUCCACAGGUCUUAUUUAUAUCAGUCAGUCGUAGGAUGCUGACUGCCCAGACCAGAAGGGGCUGGUCUGCAGCAGGGCAAGUUCUAGAGAGAGAGAAAGAGAGGGCCACCCACGGCCAACCCUUCCAGAAGCUGGGAGGGUCCCGAGACGGGGUCUGGGUAGACACCUGCUGCAGCCACAUGGCUAGUUCAGUGCCCAAGUUGGGAUUAGAAACAGUGGCCCCAGAGUCCAUUGGACUCUGGAACCUCUGUAAAGAGACCCUCUGAACACUUUCUUCACCUAAUGCAAAUCCUAUCCACCCAUCCACUCGUAUGACGACCAUGCCAGGUCAAUCUUGAGUUGAUCGCAUGAGAAGAAGGGGCGGGUUCUGCACACCGCCACGUCCUGCAUGAGUACAGCUGGCCCUGGGCGCUCUGCUCCUCUUGCGGGGAGGAUAUGCUCUCUCUUGUCUGCAAACAGGAUAGGCAGGUCCAUGUGCAAUGUGCUCUGGGCUCUCACAGGAGGUCUUCUGGGAAAGUGGAAGACUUUCUCUGAAGAGUCCUGCCCUUUUCCCAUGAUGAUGGGAAUAAAUGAGUUAAUUGACCAGGAAGGGCAAGGAAACUGCCGACAGCAAACCUUGAAAACAUCAUCUUGAAUCUGAAGUGCUCAUGUUAAUAAAGUGAAAUCAUUGGUGGCAUGUAGAAGUUUCCAGGCCAGGAAUUGAACCGGAGUCACAGCGCUGACCUGAGCCACAGCAGUGACAACACAAGAUCCUUAACUGCCUGGCUACCAGGGAACUCCUGAAAUGAAAAAAAAAUAUUGGCAUGGAAAUACCCCUGUCCAUCAGUUAAGACUGGAGAUGGAGGUACCCAGGUAUGAGAGCGACAAAUGCUUCUAUCCCCACACAGCCGUAAUGAGCACAGUAACCGCCUGAACCUCUCUACACAGUAACCUCUUCUCUGCUCUCCAAGCCCCGACGGAAAGAAAUUUCUAGUCGGCAUCUGUCGCAGAGCUCAUGUUUGCUCUAACAGAGAGGGAGAACGGAGGCUGUUCCCUGACACCACUGCUCAGGAAACCCCAUCCACUUUCCCGAAAGCGGAGAAAGAAAAGAAAACAAACCCCUGCCUGCCCGAGUCCAUAUUUUCUUUCUCUCAUUUCAUUCACUGAGAGCAGGAAGACCCCAGAAGAAUUCACACGAAGAGGAGAAAUUAUUAGCACCUCAUAAGACCCUAUGGCCAACGCCAUUUGCAGAAGUAUUUGCAGAUGCUUCUCAUUUAAAACAGCUUUCUGACUCAAGUCUCUGAAGCAGAGAACACUGACAGGCAGGUGCUACCUAGUUUUAUUUUACUCUCUGCUCGUGGGAGGAAAUCUUGGAACAAGCUAGAAAGAUGGCAGAAAACAGAGCCCCCAUCUUGCCACCCCCAAGAACAGGGGUUAGCGGGGAAGCCAUUCAUUCCAACGAUUAGAAGAAAGAACCAAAGACUAAAAUUGUGGGGAUCUAACAUGGUAUUUGACUUCCAUGCCAGUCUGUGUAGAUUAGUGUACAUUCUCUGUGCAGCUCCUCCUGUGGCCUUUAUUUCCAUAUAAAUUCAGAACAAGGCUAAGGGUGCGGAGACCACCGCAGAGCUGGGGUUGGAGCCUGGUCUGCAAAAUCAGGUGGGCUAGACUGAGUGAGCUCCCUUACCUGUCCCCUCUCUACAUCUAGUCCCCAGACCUCGCCUAGGAUCCAUGCGGUCAAGAUCCCUCUCUCAUCAGUGCUAUCCUGUAGAAGCUAACGUUGUCCCUUUCUUUCCAAACCCAGAGCCAUACUUUGUGCCCGGCGCCGUGUUAAGUAUUUCCUGUGAAUUAACUCAUUUGAUACCCAUGACAAGUCUAUGACUUGGGUGCUGCCCCAACCCCCAUUUUACAGAUGAUAAAAGCCCAGAAAGGGCAAGCCACUUGCUCAACGUCACACAGCUAAUCAGCUGCCGAAGCCAGGAUUCUUUUUCUGCAUGGCUCUAGAGCCGGGGUUUCUAAUCAAGGCUGGGCCCAGGGUUUAGCCUUUUAUUGACUCCAGUUCCUGUCCGUGGUUUGAUUUGGAGGGAGACAUUUGUCUUCUCUGAACCUCUGUUUCCUUCUUACCCAAGUGGCUACUUCUGAUGCCAUAGGAUUCUACCAAGGAGCACAUUGGAUAAUGUACAAGAAAGUGAUCUGAAAAAUGCCAAGUGAGGGGUGGACACAAAAAGACGGUGUGUGGAGUUCCCACUGUGACUCAGCGGUAAUGAACCCAAGGAUGCAGGUUCGAUCCCUGGCUUCACUCAGGGGGUUAAGGAUAUGGCGUUGCCGUUAGCUACGGUGUAGGUCGCAGACAUGGCUCAGAUCUGGUGUGGCUGUGGCUGUGGGGCAGGUCAGCAGCUGCAGCUCCUAUUCGACCCCUAGCCUGGGAACUUCCAUUUGUCACAGGAGCAGCCCUAAAAAGACAAAAAAUAACAAGACAAUGUGCAUAUCAGAUUUACCAUCUCAUUCGAAGCAGGGCGAGCAUGCAUGACCACACUGUGAUGUCUGGGUCGUGCCCCUCUCUGGCUCAUGAUCAAAAACAUGGCUGAAAUUGGCUCAGAUUGCAUGAGAGGCUUGUGUGUAGGAGGAAGGAUUGUCUGCAAGGCUGGCAGGGGAGGCCUGGAAAUGGUGCAGAGAGACCUCAGAUUUCAGGUUCCCAGGGAUUCUUCAGCACAAGGACCAGCUCCAGUCCAGAUUCCAGGAAAGCGACUUGAUAGCAGGAGAUGAAAACUUCAUGAGCUUGUCAAUAUUUGAAGAGGGGAGGAGAUCGUAAAGCAAGAAGAUUAAGAGAGAACCAGAUCAGCAGGUGCAAUGAUGAAUACCACCUCAGGUAUGCAUGGCCGGAGCAACGCCAUUCCCACUCAGCUCCUGCCCUGGGGACAGUCGGAAAUAAAUUCUCCCACCAAGAGAUUUCUGCUUCUGAGCUCCCUCCAGCCAGCACCCCGGGCUUGAUGUAAUACUCUGUGGACACCGUCUUGAAAUUCUUCACAAUUUUUCUCUUUGAACUUGUGUUGCAGAAGUAAAAUAGGCUAAUGGGACAACCUAUUAGGAUGGUCAGAUCAGAACCCUGACACUGUCAAAUGCUGGCACGAAUGUGGAGCAACAGGAACUCUCAUACAUUGCUGGUGGGAAUGCAAAAUGUUUGGCAAUUUCUUUUUCUUUUUUUCUUUUUGGUCUUUUUGCCUUUUCCAGGGCUGCACCCAUGGCAUAUGGAGGUUCCCAGGCUAGGGGUCUAAUCGGAACUGUAGCCACCAGCCUACGCCAGGGCCACAGCAACACGGGAUCCGAGCCGCGUCUGCUACCUACACCACAGCUCACAGCAAUGCUGGAUCCUUAACCCAUUGAGCAAGAGCAGGGAUCGAACCCAAAACCUCAUGGUUCCUAGUCAGAUUCGUUAACCACUGAGCAACGAUGGGAACUCCAAGGCAAUAUCUUAUAAAACUAAAUCUACUUUUAACAUAUGAUCCAGCAUUCAUACUCCUUGGUAAUUUACCCAAAGGAAUUGAAAACCUGCUCAUGGAUAUUUAAAGCAUCUUUAUCCAUAAUUAACAAAACUUGGAAAUAAUCAAAAUAUCCUUCAGUAGGUGAACGGAUAACUAUACUAGUAUUUCUAGGCAAUGAACUAUUACUCAGUGUGAAAAAGAAAUGAGCUGGCAAGGGAUGGAAAGAAACUGAGGAGACUUAAAUACUUGUUACUGAGUGAAAGAAGCCAAGCUGAAAAGGCUACAAACUAUCUAAUUCCAACUAUCUGACGUUCUGGAAAAAGCAAAACUAAAAAGACAUUAAGCAGGAGUUCCUGUUGUCCUGGCUCAGCAGUUAACAAAACUGACUGGCAUCCGUGAGGAUGCAGGUUCGAUCCCUGGCCUCACUCAGUGGGUUAAGGAUCUGAAGUUGCCGUGAGCUGUGGUGUAAGUUGUAGAUGUGGCUCAGAUCCUGUGUUGCUGUGGCCCUGACAUAGGCUGGCAGCUGCGGGUCUGAUUUGACCCCUAGCCUAGGAACUUCCAUACGCCACAGGGGCAGCCCUAAAAAAUAAUAAUAAUAAUAAUAAUAAUAAAUUAAGAAAAGAUUGAUGGUUCCUAGGGACAAGGGGGGAAGGAAGGCUGACUAGGCAGAGGACAAAAGAUCUUUAGGACAGUGAUGUUAUUCUAGAAACUACAGUGGCAGGUACAUGUCAUUGUACAUUUGUCCAAACCCACAGAAUGUAUAACAUCACGAGUGAGCUGUAAUCUCAUUUUCCUCUUGCACUGGUCCUACAAAUCACAGCCAGCCCUGCCUACGCUGCCACUAUUCAGGUGACACUUGAGAAGAGUCUGUGAUACCCCGAGCAUGCUACCAAGUGCCUUGGCUGAAUGAUGUUCCCUUAUGUCCCUCCCGGAGCCCUAAACCUAAUACACCACUUCUGUAAAAUGGGUGCAAAACUCCUCAUUGCAGUGUGGACCUCACUGAGAUGAAUGGAUGCCAAACGCUCUACAGAGAGUAAAACGCCCUCCAUGGGGCACUUACUGUCACAGAUAUUGACGAGUGAACUGGUCCCAUCCGGCAGUGCCUGCCGAGGACCUACUGGACGGCAGGGAGAUGGCCACCCCUUCUGCAGGAUGCUAGGA
rnacentral:lncRNA from 1 species